rnacentral:rRNA from 1 species
GAGUUUGAUCCUGGCUCAGGAUGAACGCUAGCGGCAGGCUUAACACAUGCAAGUCGAACGGUAACAGCAGAGCUUGCUCUGGCUGACGAGUGGCGCACGGGUGCGUAACGCGUAUGCAACUUACCCCAAACUGGAGAAUAGCCUUUCGAAAGGAAGAAUAAUCUCCAUAGUAUUUCAAAGAGGCAUCUCUUUGUUCUUAAAGCUUCGGCGGUUUGGGAUGGGCAUGCGUUCUAUUAGUUAGUUGGUGAGGUAACGGCUCACCAAGACCACGAUAGAUAGGGGGCCUGAGAGGGUUAUCCCCCACACUGGUACUGAGACACGGACCAGACUCCUACGGGAGGCAGCAGUGAGGAAUAUUGCACAAUGGACGAAAGUCUGAUGCAGCCAUGCCGCGUGCAGGAUGAAUGCCCUACGGGUUGUAAACUGCUUUUAUAUAGGAAGAAACCCCUCUACGUGUAGAGGGCUGACGGUACUAUAAGAAUAAGGACCGGCUAACUCCGUGCCAGCAGCCGCGGUAAUACGGAGGGUCCAAGCGUUAUCCGGAUUUAUUGGGUUUAAAGGGUCCGUAGGCGGGCCUUUAAGUCAGUGGUGAAAUCCUGCAGCUUAACUGUAGAACUGCCAUUGAUACUGAAGGCCUUGAGUAUAGUUGAGGUAGGCGGAAUGUGUAAUGUAGCGGUGAAAUGCUUAGAUAUUACACAGAACACCGAAUUGCGUAGGCAGCUUACUAAGCUAUAACUGACGCUGAUGCACGAAAGCGUGGGGAGCGAACAGGAUUAGAUACCCUGGUAGUCCACGCCGUAAACGAUGAUCACUCGUUGUUGGCAAUACACCGUCAGCGACUGAGCGAAAGCAUUAAGUGAUCCACCUGGGGGAGUACGACCGCAAGGUUGAAACUCAAAGGAAUUGACGGGGGCCCGCACAAGCGGUGGAGCAUGUGGUUUAAUUCGAUGAUACGCGAGGAACCUUACCAGGGUUUAAAUGCAGAACGAUCGGGGUGGAAACACCCUUUCCUUCGGGCGAUCUGCAAGGUGCUGCAUGGUUGUCGUCAGCUCGUGCCGUGAGGUGUCGGGUUAAGUCCCAUAACGAGCGCAACCCCUAUCUUUAGUUGCCAGCGGAUAAUGCCGGGGACUCUAAAGAAACUGCCAGCGUAAGCUGUGAGGAAGGUGGGGAUGACGUCAAAUCAUCACGGCCCUUACAUCCUGGGCUACACACGUGCUACAAUGGUGGAUACAGAGGGGCAGCUACCCCGCGAGGAGAUGCGAAUCUCAAAAGCCGGUCUCAGUUCGGAUCGAAGUCUGCAACUCGACUUCGUGAAGUUGGAAUCGCUAGUAAUCGCGCAUCAGCCAUGGCGCGGUGAAUACGUUCCCGGGCCUUGUACACACCGCCCGUCAAGCCAUGGAAGCUGGGGGCGCCUGAAGUCGGUUACCGAAAGGAGCUGCCUAGGGCGAAACUAGUAACUGGGGGUAAGUCGUAACAAGGUAGCCGU